CCUUUGGAGCCCCCUACAGUUAAGUGAGUGGAAUUCACUGUCGUAGGUGACAAAAUUUGCUGUACACGUGCAUUUAAUCCACCCUUUUCGCGGAAUUUCGUACGCUCAUCAGGCGUUUGGGAAGCGUGGGAAAGAAGCCGAUCGCAUUUGGAAGUCAGUGUACCAUUACAAUGACUUUAAAACUGUUAUUCCAAGAGCCAUCUAAUAUGACUUCUGAAGAUUGCUGGAAUAACACACACGAAUCAUAAGGACUACAUAUGUGGUACUUUCAUUUGCUUUUUGGUGCUUCACAGACACAAGUAUCGUCUGUUCCCUCAUCUGCUUGUUUCGUGAAUGAAAACAUUAUGGUUGACACAAAUAAAGAUAUGUGCCCUUCUAUAAGAGGAAAGCCAAGGAAAGAAAACCUGAGCCCUGAGGACAGAGCAAGGUCAGAUCGGAUAAAACCAGAAACAUCCAUACAGAGAGUCCUCAUCAAUGGACCAGACACCAGUGAAAGAAAAACAUUACAGUUCACUUGCCUUUACACAGCUAGAGUUCUUUAAAACUGUGUUCAGCUAUGUUCAAGGAGGAAGUGAACAUUUUAGAUAAUAUCCUUUAAAACAUUGAUACUUUCUUUACGUAGGCAUUAUAUCCAGCAUUAAUCUAUCUACAUAUUGUUUCCAAUUGUUUGAUCACUUUACAGAUUAAAAUUGUAUUAUUAUUAUUAUUUAUUUAUUUAUUUAUUUAUUUUUUCAAACGGUUUGUUAGUAGCAAGUUCUAAAAAUGACAUUUAAUUUAAGUUGGUUUAAAUGUCAAUUUGGAGCUCAGAGAUAUAUAUAGCCAUCUGGGCCAUGGUUCAAGUAAUUUUCGACAGCAUGCAUUGUGUUAAUUUGAUCACAUUUUUGUACACGACUAUUCCCCCUUGAACUUAUUAAUGCUGAUUUUACAUUUUAAUGAGUGCUACUCCUCAUGCAGUGUCCACUCUAUAGUACGUGAUGUGAAUGUGAGUUGCUGGUAGUGUUGUGAUUCUAACCAAAGGUAGUCAAUGACUCGGGCCAUUAUUUUCACAAUCGGGAAAGAAACAAAAGGAGAAGGAACAAGAACAACAAACUAUAGGAGACUGCAAAAAACAACAGAUGCCCACAAUGAGCAAUUGUGUGAGUGGAUUAAAAUUAAUAAAACUCUAGUUUAAACGAGUACAAAUAUAUUCUUAAACUCAUAACAUUUGAAGAGAAAAAGCACAGAAAGGGGACAAGGAUGAAUCAUUCUAGUGUGCACGUAGAGUGCCUGUGUGCAUGCACACUAUCAAAUGGAGUAUAUUUUGAAAGGCAGUCCAUUCGGCUGUGUGAAUGCUAACGUGUAAAAAAGUAUACAUCAUGUGCACUGUAUAUAUGCCUUAGAGUACACAUGGCUUUAGCCUUUGAAUUUCUUUUUUUUCUUUUCUUCUUUUCUUCACUAUCCUGGAAGACCUAGACAGUACUUGAAGAGAACCAAGAUCUUCUAGAUCAUUAAUAGAGAGACGUCUCUCCUUCAAGCACUGGCCCACUCAAUUCUCAGAAGAGAUAAAGUAGAGGCAGAAAAAGAACAAAGAGAAGCACUUUUCCUACCUCCUACCUUCCUUCUUUCUUCUUUUCUCAAUAUUCUUAUUCCCCACAAUCAAACAUGUAUUCUUCACUCUCUUGGAGCACCACAAACUGAACCUUUGUAUACAUCUUAAAACUGCUGGGUU